rnacentral:lncRNA from 1 species
UAACCUUUCUCAUAUUGUUGUUGGACUCUCUAAUCCUGGACUCGUGAUCCACUUUUAUGCAAUGCUAUAGGAAUUAGUGAAGGUUUGGUUGUCCGAUUACUACGUUUUCAAUCAAACCAAGAGUACAAGUACUCGACGAAUUAUUAUAGUGUUUUCCACGUUUGGAUAACAGCUUCUACUUCCUGCCAUUACUAAAAAUCAUAAAUUUAAGAGUAAGAACCAGCCGAUCUGUGGCAAUAUUACCGACCAAGAAACUCAAAAGAAUAAACCAAUAACUCCCACAGUGCAUAGACCAACCAAAACAAAGAAAUAAAAACAGGAAAUAUAUGAAAACUUUUUUCGAUCUUGCAUGAAAGACUAAAAUGACAGUUUCAGCACAAAAUUAUAUUGUGUGAUUCUUUACCUGAUUUUGUUGAACGAAUCAGUAAUUUCAAUCCUUCAUUGUGAGCAGAAUGACUUAAUUUAUUUCCUUUCCAGUUUAUUCCGUCAUCCUCAAUUCAAUCCCAGCUACCGCGAAUAUUAUAGGGAUUCAGUAAGAUGGUAAAACAAAACGAUCAACAAAGUUCACCGGAAACUAAUCUAAUACAUAAAGAGAAAUUGAACAUCAAGAAUCAAUCAAACAAUUAAGGAUCCGUUGCUGGUUGUUACAGCUACAGAGAGCCUAAAAACCAGGACAAAAAUCCCAAAAGAGAACCAAUUUUUAAUAAAAGUUCAAUUUAUGAAGAAAAAUUGAAAAAAAAGAAUUAGAAAAGAAAUAAUAUACCUGUUAUUGAUGCUUAAUUCAGUGAAUACCUUGAAGAAAGCUUCAAACUUUUUGCAAUCUGAUAAACAAGAAAUAGCAAAACAACAAGGAAAUAAUGUAUUUAAAACAGGAACUAAAAAAUAAAUAGAAAACGAAGCAUAGAAAAUAGCAAUUAAAUGACACAAAUAUGAACUGAAUUAGGCUCUCCAAUUUUGACCGUAUUGUUUCAUCAUGUGAAAUAGAAUUUCAACAACCUCGAUCUCAACAUUAUGCUGAAUCACUAAUCGGAAAUUUGUGAGAUAUGCUACAAGUAGUAAUAAACUCUUAAGCGCAGCCCACUCCAUUAGCAAUGAGCUGUGUAUAUCGACGAAAAUUAAAAAGUAAGAAAUGAGAGAAACAAAACCAUGUAAAUAUCUUUAGGGCCACCUCUGUAACCACAAGGAGAACAGAUCGCUGGUAAACAAAACCAUGUAAACAUAAGUCGCCGGUGCUCGGUAAAAGUUAUUGAGUUUCUUAAAACCAACCCAUGCAAUCUUUACUUUUGCCAAACAUCAAAUUCUCUUCCAUUCAACUUGCUGGGUGAAACCAAAUAGUAGAUAAAUAUCAGCAAAAUAAAUGGAGGCUUGUUGGAUGA